CUAUUCUGGGAAUAACUCAGGAGGAAGUCAGCAAAUCAACUAUACUGAGUUGGUACAAGAAAUUACCGAUGGUAAUGUAAAAGAAUUAACUUACCAACCAAAUGGUAGUGUUAUCGAAGUUUCUGGUGUCUAUAAAAAUCCUAAAACAAGUAAAGAAGGAACAGGUAUUCAGUUUUUCACGCCAUCUGUUACUAAGGUAGAGAAAUUUACCAGCACUAUUCUUCCUGCAGAUACUACCGUAUCAGAAUUGCAAAAACUUGCUACUGACCAUAAAGCAGAAGUAACUGUUAAGCAUGAAAGUUCAAGUGGUAUAUGGAUUAAUCUACUCGUAUCCAUUGUGCCAUUUGGAAUUCUAUUCUUCUUCCUAUUCUCUAUGAUGGGAAAUAUGGGAGGAGGCAAUGGCCGUAAUCCAAUGAGUUUUGGACGUAGUAAGGCUAAAGCAGCAAAUAAAGAAGAUAUUAAAGUAAGAUUUUCAGAUGUUGCUGGAGCUGAAGAAGAAAAACAAGAACUAGUUGAAGUUGUUGAGUUCUUAAAAGAUCCAAAACGAUUCACAAAACUUGGAGCCCGUAUUCCAGCAGGUGUUCUUUUGGAGGGACCUCCGGGGACAGGUAAAACUUUGCUUGCUAAGGCAGUCGCUGGAGAAGCAGGUGUUCCAUUCUUUAGUAUCUCAGGUUCUGACUUUGUAGAAAUGUUUGUCGGAGUUGGAGCUAGUCGUGUUCGCUCUCUUUUUGAGGAUGCCAAAAAAGCAGCACCAGCUAUCAUCUUUAUCGAUGAAAUUGAUGCUGUUGGACGUCAACGUGGAGUCGGUCUCGGCGGAGGUAAUGACGAACGUGAACAAACCUUGAACCAACUUUUGAUUGAGAUGGAUGGUUUUGAGGGAAAUGAAGGGAUUAUCGUCAUCGCUGCGACAAACCGUUCAGAUGUACUUGACCCUGCCCUUUUGCGUCCAGGACGUUUUGAUAGAAAAGUAUUGGUUGGCCGUCCUGAUGUUAAAGGUCGUGAAGCAAUCUUGAAAGUUCACGCUAAGAACAAGCCUUUAGCAGAAGAUGUUGAUUUGAAAUUAGUGGCUCAACAAACUCCAGGCUUUGUUGGUGCUGAUUUAGAGAAUGUCUUGAAUGAAGCAGCUUUAGUUGCUGCUCGUCGCAAUAAAUCGAUAAUUGAUGCUUCAGAUAUUGAUGAAGCAGAAGAUAGAGUUAUUGCUGGACCUUCUAAGAAAGAUAAGACAGUUUCACAAAAAGAACGAGAAUUGGUUGCUUACCAUGAGGCAGGACAUACCAUUGUUGGUCUAGUCUUGUCGAAUGCUCGCGUUGUCCAUAAGGUUACAAUUGUACCACGCGGCCGUGCAGGCGGAUACAUGAUUGCACUUCCUAAAGAGGAUCAAAUGCUUCUAUCUAAAGAAGAUAUGAAAGAGCAAUUGGCUGGCUUAAUGGGUGGACGUGUAGCUGAAGAAAUUAUCUUUAAUGUCCAAACUACAGGAGCUUCAAACGACUUUGAACAAGCGACACAAAUGGCACGUGCAAUGGUUACAGAGUACGGUAUGAGUGAAAAACUUGGCCCAGUACAAUAUGAAGGAAACCAUGCUAUGUUUGGUGCACAGAAUCCUCAAAAAUCAAUUUCAGAACAAACAGCUUAUGAAAUUGAUGAAGAGGUUCGUUCAUUAUUAAAUGAGGCACGAAAUAAAGCUGCUGAAAUUAUUCAGUCAAAUCGUGAAACUCACAAGUUAAUUGCAGAAGCAUUAUUGAAAUACGAAACAUUGGAUAGUACACAAAUUAAAGCUCUUUACGAAACAGGAAAGAUGCCUGAAGCAGUAGAAGAGGAAUCUCAUGCACUAUCCUAUGAUGAAGUAAAGUCAAAAAUGAAUGACGAAAAAUAACCCUGAGAGAGGCUGGAGCCUCUCUUUUUUGUGCAGUUUAGGAGCUAAAGGGAACAGAAUGGAGAAAAUGGAACAAAUGUGUUUGGCUCACCAAGGCGACGAUACAUAGCCGACCUGAGAGGGUGAUCGGCCACACUGGGACUGAGACACGGCCCAGACUCCUACGGGAGGCAGCAGUAGGGAAUCUUCGGCAAUGGACGGAAGUCUGACCGAGCAACGCCGCGUGAGUGAAGAAGGUUUUCGGAUCGUAAAGCUCUGUUGUAAGAGAAGAACGAGUGUGAGAGUGGAAAGUUCACACUGUGACGGUAUCUUACCAGAAAGGGACGGCUAACUACGUGCCAGCAGCCGCGGUAAUACGUAGGUCCCGAGCGUUGUCCGGAUUUAUUGGGCGUAAAGCGAGCGCAGGCGGUUAGAUAAGUCUGAAGUUAAAGGCUGUGGCUUAACCAUAGUAGGCUUUGGAAACUGUUUAACUUGAGUGCAAGAGGGGAGAGUGGAAUUCCAUGUGUAGCGGUGAAAUGCGUAGAUAUAUGGAGGAACACCGGUGGCGAAAGCGGCUCUCUGGCUUGUAACUGACGCUGAGGCUCGAAAGCGUGGGGAGCAAACAGGAUUAGAUACCCUGGUAGUCCACGCUGUAAACGAUGAGUGCUAGGUGUUAGACCCUUUCCGGGGUUUAGUGCCGUAGCUAACGCAUUAAGCACUCCGCCUGGGGAGUACGACCGCAAGGUUGAAACUCAAAGGAAUUGACGGGGGCCCGCACAAGCGGUGGAGCAUGUGGUUUAAUUCGAAGCAACGCGAAGAACCUUACCAGGUCUUGACAUCCCUCUGACCGCUCUAGAGAUAGAGCUUUCCUUCGGGACAGAGGUGACAGGUGGUGCAUGGUUGUCGUCAGCUCGUGUCGUGAGAUGUUGGGUUAAGUCCCGCAACGAGCGCAACCCCUAUUGUUAGUUGCCAUCAUUCAGUUGGGCACUCUAGCGAGACUGCCGGUAAUAAACCGGAGGAAGGUGGGGAUGACGUCAAAUCAUCAUGCCCCUUAUGACCUGGGCUACACACGUGCUACAAUGGCUGGUACAACGAGUCGCAAGCCGGUGACGGCAAGCUAAUCUCUUAAAGCCAGUCUCAGUUCGGAUUGUAGGCUGCAACUCGCCUACAUGAAGUCGGAAUCGCUAGUAAUCGCGGAUCAGCACGCCGCGGUGAAUACGUUCCCGGGCCUUGUACACACCGCCCGUCACACCACGAGAGUUUGUAACACCCGAAGUCGGUGAGGUAACCGUAAGGAGCCAGCCGCCUAAGGUGGGAUAGAUGAUUGGGGUGAAGUCGUAACAAGGUAGCCGUAUCGGAAGGUGCGGCUGGAUCACCU
rnacentral:rRNA from 1 species